GAAGGGCGGGAGCGGCGGGAGGGGCGCGGGAAGGGGCGUGCGGGGAGAGACCCCCGCGGCGGGACGCGGCUCUGCGGGAGUUACCCGCACUCCAUCUCCUUCUCACCCGCCUUGCGGUCGUGUUUUGGGUGUGCUUUAUCACGCACGCCACGUGUCAGUGCAGCAGUGCCUGCGCAUGGUUUAUAAAUAACUCCGCGUACACUGGGGACACGCUCGCUCGGGGGUGUUUCGCUGUCGUGCGGCCUCUCCCGGCCACAUUUAAGGACAUGGAGCAUUAAAUAACAUUAAGAAUUAACAGAUGCCAAAGGAGUCGCGUUCCUUUUUCCGUGGGAAGGAGGUCAGCGCCGGCGGCGUGGGUGUCGCAGCAGGUAGAGAAACAUUCCCAGGAAAGGAGCACAGUUCCGUACUCUGCUCUCCCUGUUGUGGUGAUCUGAAAGGUUCGUCCUAUCCAGAUUUUGAAAAUCCAGCACUAGUCCUGCGUUUUAACUUCAAGUGUCGGUAAAAGCAUCAGCUCUACUUAUGUUCUACCUGGAAACUCCGGCUUGCGUAUUUCAACAGGUGAACGAUGCGACCCAGCGAAGACAUGGCUGUGGCCAUUCAGAUCUCUGUAGGGGUAUAAAAGUCCGUCCCUGAUUCACCAGAAUAACCACGUCCUGCACAGAGAGUGCAUGAUCCAAGCGCAGGGAAUGCCAUGGGUGGCGGGCAGCGGGUCCCGGGAGCGGCGCGGCGCUUGCAGCUCUGCUGUGGCCGGCAGUCAUGGCCGUGCAGCACAGCCUUUUAAGGGAGAACAAUCUAUUCUGCCCUUGUCUUCUGCACUAAAUAGGGUGUUGCAGGCAGAGACGCGCUCGCUAACUGGAUUUUUACUUCUCCUUGCAGUGCCUGAUGAGGAAAAUCCCCCUGCUCCCAUCAAGCUCUGGCGUUUCGGCUCCAGAUAAUACUUUCUGUGUGUAAUAACUCCCACAGUCUGAGGAGGCUUGUCGGCACGGCGUGCCUUUGUCCACCUUUAAUCGGGGUCCGGGCAGGAGAGCGGCUCCCACCCCUGGGCACG